ACCUGGGAGGCUGCAAACUGUGGAAGCUGUACGCACAGUGUAGCAGACUAGUGGUUAGAGGAGACCCCUCCCAUGACACAACGCAGCAGCGGGGCCCGAGCACUGAGGGAAGCUGUACCUC
rnacentral:lncRNA from 1 species